GACGAACGCUGGCGGCGUGCUUAACACAUGCAAGUCGAACGCUGAAGCUUGGUGCUUGCACUGGGUGGAUGAGUGGCGAACGGGUGAGUAAUACGUGAGUAACCUGCCCUUGACUCUGGGAUAAGCCUGGGAAACUGGGUCUAAUACUGGAUACGACAUGCCACUGCAUGGUGGUGUGUGGAAAGGGUUUUACUGGUUUUGGAUGGGCUCACGGCCUAUCAGCUUGUUGGUGGGGUAAUGGCCUACCAAGGCGACGACGGGUAGCCGGCCUGAGAGGGUGACCGGCCACACUGGGACUUAGACACGGCCCAGACUCCUACGGGAGGCAGCAGUGGGGAAUAUUGCACAAUGGGCGGAAGCCUGAUGCAGCGACGCCGCGUGAGGGAUGACGGCCUUCGGGUUGUAAACCUCUUUCAGCACGGAAGAAGCGAGAGUGACGGUACGUGCAGAAGAAGCGCCGGCUAACUACGUG
rnacentral:rRNA from 1 species